rnacentral:rRNA from 1 species
UACGUAGGUGGCAAGCGUUGUCCGGAUUUAUUGGGCGUAAAGCGAGCGCAGGCGGUUCCUUAAGUCUGAUGUGAAAGCCCACGGCUCAACCGUGGAAGGUCAUUUGAAACUGGGGAACUUGAGUGCAGAAGAGGAGAGUGGAAUUCCAUGUGUAGCGGUGAAAUGCGUAGAGAUCGGGAGGAACACCGGCGGCGAAGGCGGCUUUCUGGCAGACAACUGACGCUGAGGCGCGAAAGCGUGGGGAGCAAACAGGAUUAGAUACCCGGGUA